UUGUAAAUGUAAAAUUUAAUAAACUAUUGUUUUAUGUUUUAUAUUUAAUUGUAAUUAUGUAUUACGUUAUCUAUCAAUUUUUAAUCUUAGGCUUCAAAUUUUACUUGGAUGUCACAGCAAACUGGUGGUGCCAUCCUUGACGAGCCUCCAAACUUUAAAUGGCUUUGUGAUUAAAAAGAUAUUUCAUCAGAAGUCUAUCUAUAUAAGACCAGAUACAACACUGUUGACUUUUCCUGAGGCAUCUCCAUCAAAUUCUGAAGGAGAAAUAAUUGAGGAGCAGAAGAGUGAAAGAGAUUUUGAAUCUUUAGAAAAAAACAGAAGUGAUGCCAUUGAUGCAAUAAAAAUUCAUAGCACCGGAAAAGUACAAGAGCAAUCUACUAUGUCUCUUAAUCAAGGUGCAAUUUUUACUCCGCUUGCACAAAACUUUAAUGAGACAUCAGGGGAGAUUUACAGGUGGGUUACUGUUUAGAACUGCCCCCACAAUCUGUUUAAGAAGAAAAUGUUUUUUACAUCACAGAUAUUUGUGUUCCGGUCAGA